rnacentral:lncRNA from 1 species
GGGCUAUCUCCACCUCUGCAGACUCUACAGUAUUGAGUGACUGGCGCUAGUGCAUUGGGCAUAAAUUAUAGCAAAAAAACUAAAGGCAGCAUCAUUAUUUCGAAAAAGUUAUAAUGACAUGCCACCAGCUUAAGACCUAUUUACUCCCAAGGCUGACAAUAAAUACAGGGGGAGCUCGCUGCGGAGUGACCAGCGCCGCUCCCCGGGGCUCGUGCCCCGUGCACAUCUGGCUGAGCCGGGCUGUGCCGCCAGGGAUCGGCUCAAACCCACAGCAGGCACCCAGAACCCCGCUGUUCCUUGCUGAAUAGCACCACAAUGGAGGCCAGGGAGAGGACUUGUCCUUGUUCCUCUAUAGGAAAAAACGUCAUUUUUGUUCGAGGGAUGGCUUCUGUUUUGGGAAAUCCCAGCCUGGCCACAGCUUUCCCUGGAGGGGUGUGCUGAGGUGGUGCGGAGUAAUCUGAGGGGGUGGGAUGGAGCAGCGUGAGUUCCUCCGUAAAACCCAUCACCUUUAUUGGGGCUGUCACGUUGGUUGCCUUUGCUUUCUAUUAUUUUAUUUUUUUUUCCCUCCAGAUUGCUAUUCUGCCAAGUGAUGAAAGUCUCCUUUCUGCUGCUCCUUCUAGGUGCUGCUCUUCUCCCUUCUCAUCCUCUGUUGCCUACGGUUUGAUCUUUUUAUCUUCAAUGCUGCGGUGGGGGAAGAAUCGCGUUCAAUUCAAGUCAGUAAAUUCCCGGCGAUGUCAGAUCGCGUGAUGGUGGAGCCGGUUCGAAGCCCCCGCUCUCAAAGCGACUUCCAGCAGACCAUGACGGGGAUCAAGGCACCGCUGCUGCUCGGGGCCGUGCUGUGGGGUCUCGCUGGGCUCCUCGCUGCGGCYGUUCCCAGCUCCUCCGUGUGCCAUUUCCCACUCACACCCUGUGCAAGGGACCUACCUGGGCACGGCCAGGAGCAGCUGCAGGUGACAGAAGAUGGCAGCGAGCGGUGUUGUGCAUGGAGAGCAAAACCCAUGGCUGGGGCAGGAGAGCCGCGGCAGCGCCGCAGCCUUUGUUCGCUGCCUCCCCUCUCCCAGGCGAGCCUUUGCAUUUUUAUGUCGGUGCCUUUCUUUGCAUUGACCAGAGUUUAUCACAUAUCUCUGGUUGGGAUCCUGCCUAGCUUAGCAUAAGACAAAAAUGGGAAGAGAAAAAAAAAAUCGGCUGAAUAAUAGGACGGAUUUGUAGCAGCUGAGGAUUUGCAUUCAAAUGUUCGCCAGCCUCCUCUGAGCUCGAGUUUUAUCAUGUCUUUACAGCCAACAGCUUGUUUAUGAAUAAAAAAUGUGGCAUGAAACCA